rnacentral:lncRNA from 1 species
GGAAAAGGCAGGGAGGAAGCAGCCUCCCCGGCCGCGUGUAGAACGGCCAGUGAGUCAGGCCAGCGAGUUGCCAGCCAGAAUGGUACUUUGUGCAUGAGCUCCAUGGUAUGAAGAGGACACAACUUGAAACUGCACAGCUAU